ensembl:lncRNA HCG18 HLA complex group 18
GGGGAAAGAGGAAACGUCGUGGCUGGCAGGGUAGGAAGGGAUGCGUGUCCAGGUGAGAAAGAGGUGUGACGUGCAGAUGGGAUGCCCGCCGCUAUGACGCUGCCGAGACCCGCGGUGACUGCGUCAGAGUUUCACCCGGGGAGAGCUCCCUCUUUGCCCACUAGCAGGGCAUUAGCUGGUGCUGAAGACAGUGGCUGCUUGGCGAGCCUGGAUCUCCAAGUGACCCCCUCAGCAACUCCUGAUGAACAGGACUGAAGCCAAUAUUAAAGCAAGUCAACCAAAGGUUCUCUGGUGUAGACAAGACAGCAAAAGGACAGACUACCUUGUGGAACCUAGCAUUGUUCUCCUUCUGCAGCACUAAGUAACAUUUGUUCUCCGUUAAGAUCUUUGCAAACCACACACAAGAAUUGCUGGUCAUCCUGCCAAUAGAUGCUGCUCACAGAACCAAAUUUCCUGUGCUGAAUUGUCACUCAUGGGCUUGAGAGUAGGAGACUGGAGACCAAGGUGGCUAGAAUCCAGUUGGGCCUGAUGUCUCCCUGUUGAAAGGGCUCCUUGUGGAAUGAAUAGCACAUGGCUCCUGUGGUGGAUCUGAUAGUGGCAUAGCACCAAGUGAUGCAGGCCUGCCAGGGGCCACAGACACAGAAGAUGCUCCCGGGGUCCCCCAUGUACUCCAGACACACUGCAGGCCACCUCUCCCAGCAGGUUGCCAGUCAUGGGCCCCAUCAUCAUGACUUCUGUCCAAGGUACUGUGUGCAGAAAUGUGAUUGAGAUUCAAGUCAGGGCCUCUCUGCCCUUUUCCCUCCAGAAACAAAACCAAGAUAAUUUAUCCUGAACACGGUGAAAAAAGGAAGGGAGGGAGGAGAAAAAGUCCGGGUCUCACCUGGGAUUCUCUGUCUCCUGCAACAUGAAGGAUUUAGCCUGGGAGGAGGUGGUGAGAACUCUGGGAGAGAAAAAAGAAGGAAAGAAUAGUUUUACCCAUGCUGAAGUUAAUUUAAACCUUCACCUAGAGAAGCAAAAAAAAAAAACCCACACUUUCCCAUUUUGUGCCUCCCUUCCUAGAGUUUUAGCCAAAGGUUUAGCUAAGUAAUUGGUUUUACCAGCGCACUCACUCCUCCUAUCCCAAGUCUGUUUGACUCCCUCCCCAUCAUCCUCCUCACCUCUUUUCAGGCAGGGUGGGGAUAGCAGCAGGAGGAGAUUUUGGGAGCCUGGCAACUCCUGCAAGGACCGCAGGACAGCCCCUCUGUGGGGAUGCGUGGUGCCCCAUCUGCCGCCCUUCUGAAGAAUGCACUGCCUUCACUUUUUACUGUGUUAGAGUCCAUCCAGACUGUUCUAUCCAAAAAAGUUUCUUUUUCCCCCACAGGCAAUCAGGAAAUGAUUCCUUUCCCGACUGCUUCUGUCUAGUGCCUGGGAAUCUUGAGUCAAUCCCUCAGUAAGUCAGUGACUAGGGAAAUCCCUCUCUGAGCCUCCCAGUUCAUGUUGCUUAGGGAACCUGAUAUUUUCGUGAAACCUGCCUACACAUGGGCAGCCCAACAGCAGAACAAAUGGUGGUGACCAAAGUGAACAAAGAAGUAUAGUUGUGCCAGCUUCGUAGUUGCCCAUGUGGACAAGUCAGCAGGAUCAGGACACGAGGAAGAGUAAAUGUGAGACAGUCAAUGUGACUUCUGCGAUAAACAGAUUUUUAAACCCCGAAAUUUUGCAAAAUUUUGGUGAAACCUGAACUUUCUUCGUUGCAUAUACUGGCACUAUCUGUACCAUCAUACAACUGUCUCACAUUAAAGCUAUUUUUCUUGGGCACUGAUGAGUAAGGUUGGUAUAAGUUCCUCAGAUCAACAAAAACCCAUUUUCCUGUAAGUCUUACAUUUAGUAUUUAAGGAACUAAAACUUAAAUACAUUUUGUGAAAUGGUUGACACUUCACUGAUAAUGAUUUAUUGCUUGGAUUAAUAAAUUUUCCAAAAGUUGUCUUAUGUAGAAUAUGGUUUGCAACCAGCAGAACCAUUAAUCUAUACUGCAAUGAUAUGCACUAUGUAUAAUUGUUUAAAAGCCUCUACUUAAUGAUGUAAAAUGCUCUAUUUAAUUACACAUUUGGGUAAACUGUAUACUAACAUCUGAUGGCAUUUUUCCACUGUUUGUUGCUUUUUUCAAAUACUUUAUUGUACAAAGCUGUUCUUAAUAUUUUUCAAGUUUUUUUCUUUGAAUUUUGCUAAUGUUUUCCUUGAAUUAUGAGCACUGACAGAAUGUGCUUAGCACUUUUGGCUAUUCACACAGCUUUUGAGCAUGAUUUGCAUCCAAUAUUUACAUUGCUAGCAAUAAUAAGCCAUCUGUGAGUUUUGUCAAAAGUUAUUGGGGAUUUUUUAAAUUUUAGAAAUGCAAAUUAUUGUUUCUUUGAACUAACUCUUAUGCAGUUGCAAAGGCAUUUCCAGUUGUUAUAGUUUGUGUACAAUAUCAGGUGUUCCAGAUUAUGAUUCAUUAUUAAUAUCAUUGCUUCCUUGUUCCCUCUGAGGUCCAGAAGAUUCAUGUUUACAAUAUUUAGAAACAAUGUUAAAAAGGUAUCCAAAGUUUGUCACUUUAUUAUUAGUUUGUUCUUAAUAUUCUGUUUAAGUUUUUGAAUUCAUAGAUAUCAAAACGCUGCACAAUUAUGAUUUCCACAGGAAUAACAACACACUAACAAUAAGAACCAAAAACAGCAAAUAGGCUGCCUACAAGUUUUGACAAUAUUAGGAUAAUGAUAAUGACAGUUUUUCUAAAUCUCACAGUAAAGAAUGCAGCAACCCAGCAACACUGCUACCUGUGGCCUCAGGCUGCAGUGUCAGCUCUUCCCUGGGUCUCCAGCCUGCCAGUCUAACCUGAAAAUUAUGUACUUGCCAGCCCCCACAGUCACGUGAGUGAACUGGCCCAGGCUGGUCACCAGGGUCAGUUUCUCUGUGUGUCAUUAAUUCAUUCAGUCUUCAGCAGUCUCUUUGGAGCUGAGAUGUACCUACCAUCUGCCUUUUGGGUGCUUAGGGUGGAGAACCAGAAAAGUAUAACCUAGUGUGUAUCCUCAAAGAGCUAACAAUAUGGGGUGGUACCUAUAGGUCUGGAAACACUUUACUGACUCUGUGAGGCAUACCAGGAGACGUCAGAGAACAGUCCCUCCUCAAAUGCCAAAUGAGAUGCAGAAGAAAUAGUUUGCUCAAGUUCAUGGGCCAGAUAUCCCAGUGGUCAGGGAGUUUCAUGAAUGAGAUGGAACUUUGCAUGGAACCCGAGGGAUGUGUAUGAUUUGAGUAGAUGAAGAAAAUGAGACUUUCCAAGCAGCUAGAAGUUAGGGAGCAGCAAGAUGUGUGGUGGGAUUGAGCACAGUUGGUUCAGAGGAUAGACUGCAGUUUUAAUAAUUUGUAGUAAAUAUCUCCCAACUGUUUGGCACUAUUGGAGCAAGUUCUUGAAUGCCAAAUGAAGGCAUAAAUCAGUAAGAGGCAUAAUAAAAGGCUGAGCAGUGCUUGGCUUUUUACGAACUGAUCCUGAUAGGAGCAGCUGUUCAACAAAGUUGCCAGGUCACCGUUACAUAGUCCCUGCCUUCUAGGGGCUCACUGCCUACUGGGAGAGACAGUCUGAAAGUUGGUGGAGCAUGUAACUGUUGGAUGAGGAGUUUGAGCCUGUGGACUGUGGGACCCCCGAGGAGGGUGUGGCUACUCUAGGCAGAACAAUCCCACAGUUUAUUUAUAUUUAACCUUGAAAUUCAUUAGAGGAUUUUUCAGCAGAGGUUUGGUACUUGUUAAUGUUAAGGUUUGCAUUCUCUAGAACCUCAAGGAAAGCUGUACCGUGCAUAAUGUACCCUCUUAUGUUAAUGUUGUGUACUGUGAUCCUGUUUCAGGGACUUGCACUUAGGAAUCUGUUACAGUGAGCACAGAAGCAGACCUGUGGGCUCAUAGUCUUCACCCCCCACCCAUAUAUACAAGAUGAACAGAGUGGAGGUUAAACAACUUGACUAAACAACACAGUUCAUGGUAAAGCCCAAGACUGUACCUGCCCAUCCACUGCCUUUUCCAUGUAUCCUGGAACUGAGCAUAGACCUCUUCCCAGGCAGAGCUGACAGCAAGUAAAGGAGAUCAUAAUCAGGGGACCAAACAACUUUGUCUAAAGUGUGAAUGUCACCUAAGGAGAAGCUGUGAGAUCAGAAGGGUGGGGCAGAGGAGCAGACACCAUGAGGGAGAGUCCUUGGGGGUACAUCUGCCAGACUGACACUGUCUGGCCUGGGCAGUGGAGGGGCUAGCAGGAACCACAGGUACUGGUGGUGUGGCUACUACCGUUACAACUGCCUGUGCUUGGACAUGGACCCUCUGCAAUAUGCGGCAGUUUCAUUCAUUGCCCCCUACAUUCUACACCAAGUAGAAAUGGAAGGCAAUUGGAUACUUCACAGACAAGAUCUAAGUGGAGAAGGAAUGCGUCCUGUGGCUGCAGAGAUCCUUGGAGCUUGGAGGGGAGAGCUUGAGCCCCACUGAUGAUGACCUCCCACAGCUCGCCAACUCAGCCCUCCCUAAGUCCCCAUCGGGGGCCAAUUCUCACUCUGGGGUUGGGGGGACUCCACCAUAGCUCAUCCAUCAUAGGGAUGUUGGUAUCUACUGUGGGUUGGGUAGGGCCGAUGUGCUGAGGAUGGCUCCCCCACAAGCAAGAGAUGUGGAUUUGGGGAGCUUCCCAUCUUGUGUUGAAGGAACAUAACUCAGAAUAAUAAGAGCCAACUAUAACAAACCCACAGCCAACAUCAUACUGAAUGGGCAAAAGCUGCAGGCAUUCCCCUUGAAAAGUGGCACAGGAUAAGGAAGCCCUUUCUCACCACUCCUAUUCAAUAUAGUGUUGAAAGUCCUGAUCACAGCAGUCAGGCAACAGAAAUAAUAAAGGGCAUCCAAAUAGGAAGAGAGGAAGUCAAACUAUCCUUGUUUGCAGACAGUAUGAUUCUAUAUCUAGAAAACCCCAUAGCCUCAGCCCAAAAGGUCCUUCAUCUGAUAAUUUCAGCAAAGUUUCAGGAGACAAAAUCAGUGUACAAAAAUCACUAACAUUCCUAUACACAGUCGCCAAGCCAAGAGCCAAAUCAGGAGCACAAUCCCAUUCAUAAUUGCCACAAAAAAGAAUAAAAUACCCAGGAAUGCAGCUAACCAAGGAAGUAAAGGAUCUCUACAAUGAGAAUCACAAACGCUGCUCAAAGAAAUCAGAGAUGACACAAACAAAUGGAAAAACUUUCCAUGCUCAUGGCUAGGAAGAAUCAAUAUCAUUAAAGUGGCCAUACUACCCAAAGCAAUUUAUAGAUUCAAUGCUAUUCCUAUCAAACUAUCAAUUACAUUUUUCACAGAACUAGAAAAAACUUAAAAUUCAUAUGGAACCAAAAAGCCUGAGUAGUCAAGGCAAUCCUAAACAAAAAGAACAAAGGUGGAGGCAUCACAUUACCUAACUUCAAACUACAGGGCUACCAUGACCAAAACAGCAUGGUACUGGUACAAAAGCAGACACACAGACCAGUGGGACAGAAUAGAGAGCCCAAAAAUAAGGCCACAAACCUACAGCCAUCUGAUCUUCAACAAAGUUGACAAAAACAAGCAAUGGGGAAAGGUCUCCCUAUUCAAUAAAUGGUGCUGGGAUAACUGGCUGGCCAUAUGCAGAAGAUCGUAACUGGACCCCUUUUACUAUGUACAAAAAUUAAGAUGGUUUAAAGAGUUAAAACCCAAAAUUAUAAAAAUCCUGAAGAUAACUUAGGCAAUACCAUUCUGGACAUAGGAACUGGCAAAUAUUUCAUGAUGAAGACACCAAAAGCAAUUGUAACAAAAGCAAAAAUGGACAAAUUGGAUUUAAGAGCUUUUUCAUAGCAAAAUAAACAACAGGGCAGACAAUCUACCAAAUGACAGAAAAUUUUUGCAAACUAUGCAUCUGACAAGGGGCUAAUAUCUAGCAUCUAUAAGGAAUUUAAACACAGUUACAGGAAAAAAAAAACCCACUCCAUUAAAAAAUGGGCAAAGGACAUGAACAGACACUUUUCAAAAAAGACAUACAUACAGCCAACUAGCGUGUUAAAGAAAACCUCAAUUAUCACUGAUCAUUAGAGAAAUGCAAAAUCAAAACCAUGAUGAGAUAUCAUCUGCCAGUCAGGAUGGCUACAAAAAAGUAAAAAAAUAAUAGAUGUUGGUGAGGUUAUGGAGAAAAGGAACUUAUACACUUGUUAGGAGUGUAAAUUAGUUCAAUCACUGUGGACAGCAGUGUGGUGAUUCCUCAGAGAGCUAAAAACAACUACCAUUUGACUCACCAAUCCCAUUACUGGAUAUUUACCUAAAGGAAUAUAAAUCAUUCCACCAUAAAGACACAUGCAAGUGUAUGUUCAUUGCAGCACUAUUAACAGUAACAAAGCUGGGCACAGUGGCUCACCUCACGACUGUAAUCCCAGCACUUUGGGAGGCUGAGGUAGGCGGAUCACCUGAGGUCGGCAGUUUGAGACCAGCCUGACCAACAUGGAGAGACCCCAUCUCUACUAAAAAUACAAAAUUAGCCAGGUGUGGUGGCUCAUGCCUGUAAUCCCA